rnacentral:tRNA from 1 species
GCCGGAAUAGCUCAGUCGCUAGAGCAGAGGACUGAAAAUCCUCG